GGACUACCGGGGUAUCUAAUCCUGUUCGCUCCCCACGCUUUCGUGUCUCAGCGUCAGUACCGGUUUAGUGCUCUGCCUUCGCAAUAGGUGUUCUGAACGAUAUCUACGCAUUUCACCGCUACACCGUUCAUUCCAAGCACCUCAGCCGUACUCUAGUCUGAUAGUAUCAAAGGCAGUAUCUAGGUUGAGCCCAAAUAUUUCACCCCUGACUUAUCAAACAGCCUGCACACCCUUUAAACCCAGUAAAUCCGGAUAACGCUUGCACCCUACGUAUUACCGCGGCUGCUGGCAC
rnacentral:rRNA from 1 species